GAUACGUUAUCGUGUUACCGGACACGUAUACUUCGCGCGUCGAACAAAAAAACGAAAUUCCUGAGUUACUACGUCAUUCGCGCGGCGUCACUCGAGUGGAAAGAUGCGAGAUAUUUCUGUUAGUGCAACGAAGAAACAGCAAAAGGGGAGAAAAGAAGACUCGGAGCAGUUUUGGACGACGACGAAACAACCUAGAGUCAUGCGGUUUGGUUUCUCAUCUGGCGACUGUGCGACGACAAAAACGAAGAUAGAAAUCUCGACAGCCCUCCUCAAGCAACGGGGGAGUAGCACCAGAUCCCUUCCUUUAUGAAA